UUCAGGUGGCGGUACACCCUCACCAAGCCAAGCGACCAACGAGCUACGGCAAGUCGGAGCUAUUGCGUCACAUAUGGCAGUUCGACUGUCAAAUCCAUUCGACAGCGACCGCAGCGGACAUCACGCUGUGUCAGGCGAAUCGCAGUCAUGCUAAUCCCAGUGCACACCUGCUGUCGCUGCACUACUGUCGCCGACGCAGAAUGAGCCUCUAGGUAGUCAAGACGCGGCUGAUGAGCCCGACUACUGGUUCUGGGAUGAUGCUGGCAGGCCACCAGCAGAACCUGAAACAAAUUCUGCCCCAUUACCGGCCACUACAGACAGCCGAGCGCUCGUUCAUGGUACAACAAUUCAGGAAGCUGCUGUGACAGAGCCCGGUGCUGCAGCAACUUCAAACGCUCCUGUGCCAGCUCGCACAAGACGCCCCACGACAAGCAGCAGCCAGAGACAGACGGCGGUCUCCCUUGAACUGGCUGCCCGCCUCAGUGCCAUCAAGGACGACCGUGAAGAAAAAAAAUGAAGAUUAAUUGAAAAUGAGAUUCAUGCGCCUCGAGCACAAAUACAAAUAUUUGCACAGGCAAGCCCAACAUGAGCAAACUAUGCAGCUUCUUCGGCUGAAAGAAGCCAACCAAAAAAGAAAAGCGGAAAUUCUAAAGCUUCAGCUAGAAGCUUCGAAGAAACAGUAAACGUCUUUGUUGUUGC
rnacentral:lncRNA from 1 species